AUGGUUCCGGUGAAUUUCGGGGAUUCGUCGUCGAUUCCCCCAGUGGAUGCGGUGGUGCCAAUAGCAAUGGCUCCUCGGUUACUCUGCUUCCUCUUCCUCCUCCUGCAGCUGUUGCUCUUCCCCCGCGUCGCCGCCAUCGUCCUCGCCGCAACCCCCGUCCUGCUUCUCGCCGCCUUCCUCCUCGCCCUCGUCCUCGUCUACAGCGAGCCCAACAACAAUAAUGAGCCCGACCAUCUGAUUCCGAUCAGGAUCAGGUCGCGCAAUCCCCAUGCCCAUGACCAUACCUCCUCCUGCACCGCCUCCGGAUCAUCGGACGACGACGACGACGCCCAAGACUCGGACUCGGAGUCGGUCUCGGAGCCUGCCGAUGAUGAGAAGGCUGCGGUGUGGACGGCAGAGGACGAGAAAAGCAUCCAGAACAUCGGCUCGCUGGAGCUGGAGAGGAAUGCCGCUGUGGAGAAGCUCAUGUCCUCAAGAAGCAUGCACCGCUACUACGCCGCCGACCGCGACCUCAUCGACCUCGACCUCGACGGCGAUGGCCACCAGCUGCCCCCCGGCUCCGCUCCCUCCAUGCACCGCAACCCCUUCUUCUUCCACGAUGACCAACAAGCAGCAGCGUCAACGGCGAAGCUGUUCAGCCGACACGAGAGCUUCAGGCCAUACUUCGUCGCCGACAAGCACUUCGCCACUGCCGACAAGACGCAGCAGCCGGUCGUCCUCGAGAGCAGCGGUGGCGGAGGCUCUUCCUCGUCUUCGUCUUCGUCUUCCUCUGCCAGCGGCGACCGUGCCGGCCAGCAUAUGAAGCAAGAAGCCGUGGCUGACUUUUCCUCCAGCCCCAAGGCCAUGGUGGUGACGGUGGAUGCAGAGCUCCCCAACCCCAAGUCCAUGGUAACGGUGGAUGUAGAGCUCAUCAGCGACUCCUCGGAUGAUGACGACGACGACAUCAUGUCGUUGCCCGGCCAGCAAAUAACUAAG
rnacentral:lncRNA from 1 species